rnacentral:rRNA from 1 species
UCCGGAAUUAUUGGGCGUAAAGAGCGUGUAGGCGGCUUGUUAAGUCUGCUGUGAAAGUCCAGGGCUCAACCCUGGAAAGCCGGUGGAUACUGUCGAGCUAGAGUCCGGAAGGGGCGAGUGGAAUUCCUGGUGUAGCGGUGAAAUGCGUAGAUAUCUGGAGGAACACCGGUGGCGAAGGCGGCAUCCUGGACAGACACUGACGCUGAGGCGCGAAAGCUAGGGGAGCAAACGGG